UACGUAGGUGGCAAGCGUUGUCCGGAUUUAUUGGGUUUAAAGGGUGCGUAGGCGGUCUUUUAAGUCAGUGCUGAAAUACUCCAGCUUAACUGGAGGGGUGGCAUUGAUACUGGAAGACUUGAGUGCAGUCGAAGUAGGCGGAAUUGACGGUGUAGCGGUGAAAUGCUUAGAUAUCGUCAAGAACACCGAUAGUGAAGACAGCUUACUAGGCUGCAACUGACGCUGAGGCACGAAAGGUGUGGGGAUCAAACAGG
rnacentral:rRNA from 1 species